rnacentral:tRNA from 1 species
AAAAGAUUAGUUAAAUUAACAUGGGUAUGUCAUGCCCAAAUUGCUGGUCCAAUCCAACAUCUUUUA